CGCGCCAUGCCCGGGCAUCGAGCCCAAUGCUUCAGACACCACGUCUCAUCCUCUGCACAGACCCAGGGAGCUCCGGUGUUUCCAUUUUACAGACGGGGACACUGACGCCCAGGCAGGGGAACGGGUCACCAGGAGCGAAUGACCAGCCUGGCUUCAUCCCACAUCUCCAUUUGACAAGCACUUGGCAUAACCAGCCCCAGAGCCAGACAGGCUUGGGACAGGAUCCCUGGCCUUGACCCUCUUCCCUGUGCCUUGACUUCCCAGCUCGGGGGUCGACAUUCUCAGGAAGCUGAGGAGGGAGUGAAAAGUUUAAAAAUAAGGUCCCUCCCCACAGAUUUUGCAUAAGGGCGCUUGAUGAACGAAAACUAGCAAUUCCACCCUCUGUGACGUGUCUGCAUCCCAGAAACACGCGUGCCAGGAAGGGGGCGAUUCGGGUGUAGCUGAGAACCCACUGGCAGGGAGGUCUUCGCACUGAUUUUCUUGGACCACGCCAGCCUGGGACCGAGGUGAAGAUAUUUAGCCCCAUUUUACAGAUGAGAGACUGAGGCUCAGGGAGGUAGCGAGGGACCCAGGCAGGUUUGGUGAGGCGGGAGGAGCAGUGUCCACGCCACAGCAGUCACCCGGCUGGGGAAGUCCUAGGGGAGCCCUGGGGCCAGCCUGACCUUCCGCCCCCCCGAGGGGCAGGAUGAGGAGACUGCUGGGGCUGAGCCUCUGAGAACUGCGGCUCAGGCCUCCCCAGCGGGCCUUCCCCAGCAGGCUGGAGAGCAGCUUGUCCCCCCGCCCUUCUCUGGGCUCCCUGCAGCCCAGCGUGGCCUGGCCGAGGGUGUGCUGGGAGAAGGGACCGGCAGGAGGGGCGGAGAAGCAAGUGGGAGAAGACAGACAGGGUGGGGGGCCGCAGCCUUGCCCCGGGCCCAGCCCCACACACCACCAGGGCCUGGGGGGAAGGAAGUGCAGGGCGGCCCCCUCCAGCCUGCGCCCAGGUCCUCUCCACAGCACCAGGGAGCGGAUGCCAAGGCAAAUGGGCACCUUCUGGACUGGUCAUUUCCAUGGCCCACCCCUCCCCUUCCCUGCCUCCCCACAGGUUUUGCAUAAGUCUGUCGUGGCUGGCUGUCACCACGGCGACCAGUGGUCACACAGUGUGAGCCCAGGGACAUCCGGUCCUGGACCAGGCUCUGAGGGUUGUUGGUCCACCUCAAGGUGCAGGCCAUCACUGGAUGACGAUCACCAACGUGGCGUCCUGAGGACACUGGAUGGCAUCCACUCUGUCCCCCUGGGAUGGGGGCAGAGCUGGACCAGAAGCCAGGUGCGGGACAUCUUCCAGUGCUCAGAGAGAGCAUUUGUCCCUGCUGACAGCCUGCUCAGGGGAACCCCAUUGUUCCUCUUUAUUGGAACCCCUCAGUCCCCGUGGAUCCUGUAGGGUCCCAUUCCAGCCUUGGGCAGCUUCAGUCUGUAUAACUGGUAGGUCGCUUUGACUGAGUCACUGCCCCUCUCUGAACCUCAGUCUCCUCUUCUGCAGGAUGGGAAGAUAGCGGUCAUACCUUGAAAGGUAGAAUAGCCUAAGGUGACAGAGCGUAGCCAUGCUCAGCACAGGAGCUGGCAGGUGGGGAGCCCUCAAGAUGCGUCACCGUAGAAACACCUUGAGCUCAUCACAGUCGCUGGACACUGAAGCUCCCACAGCACAGAUCGGCCUCCCCUCAGGAGCCUCAACUGGCCGGUGCCAUCCUCCUCCUCACCCGACCUCAGGGGCGCGUGUGAUUGGCCUGGGGGACCCAGGGAAGUCAGCCUGCCUUCCUGGACUUUGGGUGACUGCCCCCUGGACCUCGUCUCCCUGUCUGCGUGAUGGGAGUGAGCGUCUCUGCAGCCGCCUCAGCUCUGACUUGAAAUGCCCCUCGGGGCGCCUGCCCACCUGGGCUGCCCUGCAGGGGCCCUGAGGUCUGUCCCUUGUGUGUCCCUGGCUCUCAUGUCAUGGCCAGUCCAGCCCACUGCACCGAUGGCCUCCCCAGCUCCAGAGCAUCCCAGGACCCCCAGCUCCUGUGUCCUCCCAGGUGACACGUGCAUCAUAGCGCCUCCCUGUGGCUGUGCCCGGAGCCGAUCCUCCUCCAACACCUGUCUUGAGGGGGCACCGAGUGGGGGAAGGGCAGCACUGUCCCCUCCCCCUCGUGGCAGCACAGGUCUACGUGGGCCGGGGUCAAGGGCGGGCCCAAGAUCACCAGGGAACCCUGAGUCCAGGCCUCGCUGGCUGGUUUUGUGUGUUUUUUUCAGGGAUAGGGAUUGAACCCCCAAGCUCCAGCCCCGCUCCUGUUGGUUUUGAUUUUGAGACAGCUCUCGCGCGUUGGCCAGGCUGCCUGGAGCUUGCCAUCCUCCUGCCUCCGCCUCCCGACUCGCUGGGGUCCCAGGCGCGGCCGCCACUGCUACUGAUUUCAAAUGCCCAUGGUCUCACCUCGAGGACAUCGGCCAGGAGGGGUCUGUCCCCGGCUCUGGAGCUGCUGAAGACACCCAACUUCCUCAGGGCAACUAUGAGACACUUUGGGGACACAGAGGGACACUCUCAGCUGGGGAAGGAGCCAGGGGUGUCCCUGGUGGCUGUCCGUUUUGUUACAAGAAGGGACAACCUAGCACUUUGGCCGUCUCCCCUUUCUCCAGGGACAGCUCUGAGCCCUGCUGUUUGCAGGUGCUAUUUUAUUUAAUUCCCACGCCACAGUCCCAUGAGCCGAGUUAUGAUCCUUAUUUCAACGGGGAGGAAACAGAGCCUCAGAGAGGUUAAGCAGCCUGCCCUUGGUCACACAGCAAGGCUGAUGUCCAAUAAAAGUCGUC
rnacentral:lncRNA from 1 species